AGAGUUUGAUCCUGGCUCAGGACGAACGUUGGCGGUGCGCUUAAUGCAUGCAAGUCGAGGGAGAACCAUUCGAUCCGUAAGGACUGGAUGGGGAAACCGGCGAACGGGUGCGUAACACGUGAGGAACCUGCCCCGAAGACCGGGAUAGCCCGAGGAAACUCGGAUUAAUACCGGAUACCCUCUUUGGACCACAUGGUCCGCUGAGGAAAUGGUCCGCCGCUUCGGGAUGGCCUCGCGGCCUAUCAGCUUGUUGGUGAGGUAACGGCUCACCAAGGCAAAGACGGGUAGCUGGUCUGAGAGGACGAUCAGCCACACUGGGACUGAGACACGGCCCAGACUCCUACGGGAGGCAGCAGCAGGGAAUAUUGCACAAUGGGCGAAAGCCUGAUGCAGCGACACCGCGUGCGGGAUGAAGGCCCUCGGGUUGUAAACCGCUUUCAGGAGGGACGAAAAUGACGGUACCUCCAGAAGAAGGCCCGGCCAACUACGUGCCAGCAGCCGCGGUAAUACGUAGGGGCCAAACGUUGUCCGGAUUUAUUGGGCGUAAAGGGCUCGUAUGCGGUUCAACAAGUCGAUCGUGAAAGCCCGGGGCUCAACCCCGGGACGCCGGUCGAAACUGUUGUGACUAGGGUCCGGUAGAGGUGACUGGAAUUCUCUGUGUAACGGUGGAAUGCGCAGAUAUCCAGAGGAACACCACUU
rnacentral:rRNA from 1 species